GAGCUGUGGUGUAGGUUGCAGACGCGGCUCGGAUCCCGCGUUGCUGUGGCUCUGGCGUAGGCUGGUGGCUACAGCUCCGAUUCGACCCCUAGCCUGGGAACCUCCAUAUGCCGCGGGAGCGGCCCAAGAAAUAGCAACAACAACAACAACAACAAUAACAACAACAACAAAAAAAGACAAAAGAAAAAAAAGAAUCGUGGAUGUAAAGAGGCAUUUAUUAGAAAGGGUGCAUGGUGUUGAUAAACGGAAAACCCAGUGGCUGCACCCCACUGACAGAUGGUCAGAGAUGAGGAGAUAGUUAGGCUAGCUAAUCUUUAAAAAUAAUAGUGUAAAAUAUGUCUAAUUUGAUGGCUAAGAGCCAGUCAGAAAAGCUGUACCUAUACUUUGCCUGGAAAGGACUAGGCAGUGUCCAGAAUGGUGGUCACGUGGUUAGCAGAUGACUUGGCUUCUGUUUUCUUGCUGAUGCUUGUCUACAGGUCUCCAAUUGCUGCAAUACUCGUUAUGGAAAUCAUAAAAAAUACAAAGAAAAAUGGAAAAACACAGUUUUAGAUCAUCUCUCUCUCUCUCUCUCUCUCUUUAACACACACACACAUACACACACACACACACACACACACACACACACUCUCUGUAUGCCUUGAGAGUCUGACACACUUUUCUUAGACUUGUUAUACAUGCCUUGUUUAAAAAGCAGGUGGGGGAGUUCCCCUCAUGGCAAUGCCGGAUCCUUAACCCACUGAGUGAGGCCAGGGGUCGAACCCCCAACCUCAUGGUUCACAGUCGGAUACAUUUCCGCUGCACCACAAUGGGAACUCCUGUUGUGCUUUUAGAUGGAAAACAUACUGUGGGAAACAGACCAGCCAUGCUGGCCUCCCCUAGAUGGGGUGAGAGAAGCUGCCUGAGUUCAGGCGGCCUGGCCACCAUGAGCCCCACACUAGGGGUGGGCCCACACUUCUCCUAUGUGCCCGCUCCAGCGAGAGCCUGUUAUGACGGAUGGCUGGGGGUUGGCCAGGAGGCCUUGUAUGUGGUGUGCAUGGCCUCAGCAAGGCCUGACCUGAUUGUGAGAGGGGUCAGCAGCGCUGGUUCCAGGGAGGGCUGUGGAUUUAUAAAAUGAGGUGACAGGCGAAAUAUCCCUUCUUGGCAGUCUUUGAACUGGGAUGCACACAGAAUUCAGUGUCAAAUUUAAAACCAAGCUUCAGAGAGGUCUCAGUGCUUGUCUGAUGUUGCUAAAGACAUUUUAUUAGAAUAUUAAAAUUUCAUGGCAGUCAAGGAGCCUGCCUGCUUUCAGACUCCAAGGGUGACUCACAGUAAGAUGUGCAUUUUAUACUCUGAGGCUGCAAACGUGUAUAUGAGUGUGUGCAUACACACACGUGCACACACAGACACACACUAAAAUCUUAAAGCACUCAUCUCCUAACUACAUAUAAUGCAUUUUAUGAAAAACUGUCUUUGCACCCACCCCAAGGUUGAAAAAAACCCUUUUUGUCAUCUGGCCUUAUGUUGUAAUUUCUUGGACAUUUUAACAUUUUGGCAUUAAAUAUGUGCAGGAGUGGAGUUUCCGUCGUGGCUCAGUGGUUAACAAAUCUGACUAGGAACCCUGAGGUUGCGGGUUUGAUCCCUGGCCUCGCUCAGUGAGUUAAAGAUCUGGUGUUCCUGUGAGCUGUGGUGUAGGUCAAAGACUUGGCUCCAAUCCCGAGUUGCUGUGGCUCUGGCAUAGGCUAGCGGCUGUGGCUCCAAUUAGACCUCUAGUUUGGGAACCUCCAUAUGCUGCCCAGUGGGAUAAGGAUCCGGUGUUGCUGCACGCAGUGGUGUAGGUCGCAGAUACAACUCAGAUCUGGUGUUGCUGUGGCUCUGGUGUAGGCUAGCAGCUGCAGUUUUGAUUCAGCCCCUAGCCUGGGUGCUUCUGUAUGCUAUACCUAUGGCCCUAAAAAGAAAAACAAACAAAAAAAAAA
ensembl:lncRNA